CGAUCCCGGCGGGAUCGGGAGCGGUUUCCCGCCGCAGGCUCCAGCAUGGCGGGGCCUGGCGUGGCCCCUGCCAUUCCUGCAGCGCUGCUAGAGUAUCCCGGGGCCGUUUGAGGCCUCUCCCGGCGCUUCCCGGGGGCGGUUAUGGAACCCCCGGACACCCCCAGGGCCCGGGAGGGAUCUGGUGGGGGGGACACGGGGGGAGCCCUGAAACCCCCAGGCAGGGCCGGGGACAUUCCUGCCCUUUCCCAUUCCAGGCUCCCGCUCUGGGGAUCCAGCCCCGUCGAGGAAGCCAUCGGGAAGGAGGAGGUGGAUUCAGAGGACCUAUCACCGAAACUGGCCUUCUUGUGGUUAAUUAAUGCUACCUAAUUAACGCUACCGAGGGCUCAGCCCCUCCUGUGGGGGGGGACCCGGGACCCAGCCCUGUCCCUCCAUCCCGGCGGGAUUUCUCCGGAGUCACCACGUGUCCAGGCUCCUGCUCCAGCGAUCCAGAAGGAUUUAGGAAGGCCCAGGAAGUGGGUGCAGUGCUUCUGUCACCGUAAUUAACCCAGCUGUAGUUAAUUAAAGCUGGAAUCCCCCAGGAAUGCUGCUCUGGGACACUUCCCAUCCCCGUGGGAUCCAUCUGGUGUCACCCCCUGUCCAGGGGAGGGUUGUCACCCUGUCACCUGCACCAGGCUUGGGCGGCUCAUCCCACCCUCCCUGUGCCAGCGCCCUCGUCCCCCAGGGAUUUAUCCUGCAGACGUGGAUGGAAGGAGCAGCUGGGGCAACGGGGCACUUUCCCCGUGGGAGAACGUGGAUCCAGCUGCACCAGAACCAGGGAAUUAAACGUGAAACCAUGAUUUUUCCAAUUUACAAUUGAGAGCCUUUGUCUCCUUCUGUUUUAGGUCCUGAUGUCCCUA